UGGGGAAUAUUGGACAAUGGGCGCAAGCCUGAUCCAGCCAUGCCGCGUGAGUGAUGAAGGCCCUAGGGUUGUAAAGCUCUUUCACCGGUGAAGAUAAUGACGGUAACCGGAGAAGAAGCCCCGGCUAACUACGUGCCAGCAGCCGCGGUAAUACGUAGGUGGCAAGCGUUGUCCGGAAUUAUUGGGCGUAAAGCGCGCGCAGGUGGUUUAGAAAGUCUGAUGUGAAAGCCCACGGCUCAACCGUGGAGGGUCAUUGGAAACUAAUAAACUUGAGUGCAGGAGAGAAAAGUGGAAUUCCUAGUGUAGCGGUGAAAUGCGUAGAGAUUAGGAGGAACACCGGUGGCGAAAGCGGCUUUUUGGCCUGCAACUGACACUGAGGCGCGAAAGCGUGGGGAGCAAACAGG
rnacentral:rRNA from 1 species